CCUCUUAUUUUGUUGCACCGAAACUGACCCCCCCUCCCUCUCUAAACUCAAAAUGGAGAACGACGACAAAUACCUCCCUGAGCUGCUGGCGGAAAAGGACAGUCUGGACUUGUCGUUCACGCACGCCAUGAAACUUUUGAACGCAGAAAUUGAUAGAAUCCAGAAAGGCGAGACUAAAAAGGAGGCAGAAGCAUACCUGGACCUUUUCACAACAAAGAACAUCAAACUUAAGGAGCGGGUGCUCAUACCUGUCAAACAGUACCCGAAGUUCAAUUUUGUGGGGAAGAUUUUGGGACCUCAGGGUAACACAAUCAAACGGCUACAAGAAGAGACCGGAGCCAAGAUCUCUGUGCUGGGCAAAGGAUCCAUGAGAGACAAAACCAAGGAGGAGGGGUUGAGGAAAGGCGGCGAGCCCAAGUACGCCCACUUGUCCAUGGACCUGCAUGUAUUCAUUGAGGUGUUUGCCCCCGUUCCCGAGGCUUACCUGCGCAUGGCACACGCCAUGGAGGAAGUCAAGAAGUUCCUGUUUCCCGAUAUGAUGGAUGACAUCUGCCAAGAGCAGUUCAUGGAGAUGAGCUACCUGAACGGAGGCCAGGAGCACGGAGCCCGAGGUCGCGGGGGCAUGCCGGGCAGGGGCCGUGGAAUCCCUCCUGCUGGAGCGCACAGGGGAAGAGGAAUGCCUCCUCGUGGAGGUGCUGUGAGGGGAGGCGUGACCCGAGGUGGCCCAGCCAGAGGCGGCCCAGUGAGGGGUGGCCCGGGAGGUCGAGGAGGGCCCCCUGCAGCACCUGCCAGAGGAGCUGUGGCACCGCGUGCCAGGCCUCCAGCUGCCGGACCUCCCCAGAGGAUGGCGCCCCCACCACACCAGCACUCCUCCACUGCAGCCUCUGAGAACUACGAUGAAUAUGGCUACGACGAGAGCUACACAGACACGUCCUACGAGUCGUACGACAACUAUUACAGUCAGCCGCAGGCAGAGCCAGAAUACUAUGACUAUGGACACGGAGAGACCACAGACUCGUACGAGUCGUAUGGCCAGGACGACUGGAAUGGGACCCAGCAACUAGGUCCAGGAAAAGCCCCUCCCACCUCCAGAGGGGCCAAGACGACUUACCGGGAUCACCCAUACCGACAGUACUGAAGCGGACUCGCCACCCUUAACGUGUCGCCCUGACUACCGCCUGUCUACCAUGGCAGCUCUUGCUUUAAGCAGCCCGACAAAAGCACAGCUAUCGGUCACUGAGUGCCCAGAGACUGACAGUCUGCCCGAGUGAGACCAUACAAAUACACCUCAGUGAGGACAUGCACGGGAACAGCUCACAACACGGAGGUGGUCGGAACGACUCUCUCGGGGCACUCUUUGGAAAAAGUAGUGGCCCGAUGCCCAUUUCUGUGCUUGGCGGGGCGGCGGGGGGGGGGGCGGGGAGCCAGGGUUGUGGUGGCCGUCUGCCAGUUGACCCACAGAGGGCGGCUGAUUUAGUGAGAGGAGGAAGAGGAGGAGGCUGCAGCCGGUCAGCGAAGACGUUCAGAACGACCAUAGACUGAAAAACAGCUCUGCUUUUUUGUUGUUGUUUUUUUUGUACGAUGACUACGUAUCAUGUUGAUAUUGAAUUACUGUGCGUUAUCAUUGUGCAAUUAUUUUUCUAACAUUGAAUACACACAGUUUCCACAGAUCACAAAUGUAAUUGUUACAGCCUAACUCGCCAUAAAAUGAGCACUCCUGUUAUAGUAAGCUGUGAAAUUGUUUUUAAUUUCCAGUAACUCGGUGAACUGUGAAACACAACUGUUCAGAGUGAGGCGAGCUGCGUUCAGGAAGACUAAGUAUUCAAGUCUGAGUGCCUUAUUGCCGCGAGCGCCGAUCACUAUCUGGCGAUGGGCGAGUCGACCGCGGCCACAUCUUGGCACCGCGCGGCCCCCGAGGAUAUCACAUGCUAAUGCGCUGAUGGCAACACAUUUGCAUGUACUCGCAUGUUCCCGCCAAACACGCGGUGUUUGAGAGUGUGAGAGAGGGACAGAGGGUGAAGACUGACAUUACCAAACUUGCCCUCCCAUCUACUGUGUUGAUUUGAUUCUCCGCCGAGUUACAUUUAGAGGUCGAAACUCCACUUUUUGUGUGUGGAGAACAAAUGUCUCUGCUCAGAGGCAACAUUAGCCAAGGCAGCGGCUUCAUUUCGCUUAUUGGAAAAGCUGCCAGCUUACAGCACAGAACAUUACAUAUUAGGGAAUGGGCCAUAACCAAAACAAUUCAUUUUUUUAUCUGCUUUUAUGUCUGAAAAUAAUGAUUUUCUUUGUCUCUGGUAAUUUAAUGAAAGACAAAUGAUGGUAUGGAAUCUGUCUCCUUUUGUUUCAAUUGAUGAACUGUCAAGUGGCGCCACACGAGGUGGAAGAGAGAGAAAAUGUUACCCUGCAAUGAUCAAUAAAAGCAAAGUGUUGAAUCCGA